rnacentral:rRNA from 1 species
UACGGGGGGAGCAAGCGUUGUUCGGAUUUACUGGGCGUAAAGAGCUCGUAGGUGGUUCGGUAAGUCGGGUGUUAAACCCCCAGGCUCAACCUGGGGACGCCACUCGAUACUGCUGUGACUAGAGUCCGGUAGGGGAGCGUGGAAUUCCUGGUGUAGCGGUGAAAUGCGCAGAUAUCAGGAGGAACACCAAUUGCGAAGGCAGCUCGCUGGGACGUUACUGACGCUGAGACGCGAAAGCGUGGGGAGCAAACAGG